ACCCCUGGAACCUCCCACCAGCCCAGCACAGCUCUCACAGCCUCAGCACCCCAGGUCAGGCAGUCAGAAGCAGACCAUGCCACAGAUGAACAUGGGAACAGUUAGCUGUGAAGCCUUGGACUGUCGUCCGCCUCCAACCCCUGAGGCUCUGACCACACCCAGCCCCAGCUCAGAUCAUCUUGCUCAAAGGGCUGAAGGAGGACCCAUCUCCACACCUUCCACAUGUAGAUAUCCUCAACGUUCUUCCAGGGGAGAUGCCCGCACCCCGCCCCACCGAGUUCGCGGCUGCUGUGCCCAUCUUCCUGGAGAGGAGUUCUCCGCCACACCCGACACCACACACUUCCAACUUCUACGGUGCUUCCCUCUCACUUAUCUCCACCCCCAAUCCUUAUCCCCGCUCGUUUAAUCACACAUUUAUU
rnacentral:antisense_RNA from 1 species